UACAGAGGUCCCAAGCGUUGUUCGGAUUCAUUGGGCGUAAAGGGUGCGUAGGUGGCGUCGUAAGUCGGGUGUGAAAUCUCGGGGCUUAACUCCGAAGCUGCAUUCGAUACUGCGGUGCUUGAGGACUGGAGAGGAGACUGGAAUUUACGGUGUAGCGGUGAAAUGCGUAGAUAUCGUAAGGAAGACCAGUGGCGAAGGCGGGUCUCUGGACAGUUCCUGACGCUGAGGCACGAAGGCCAGGGGAGCAAACGGG
rnacentral:rRNA from 1 species